rnacentral:rRNA from 1 species
GAUGAACGCUGGCGGCGUGCCUAAUACAUGCAAGUCGAGCGAACAGACGAGGAGCUUGCUCCUCUGACGUUAGCGGCGGACGGGUGAGUAACACGUGGAUAACCUACCUAUAAGACUGGGAUAACUUCGGGAAACCGGAGCUAAUACCGGAUAAUAUAUUGAACCGCAUGGUUCAAUAGUGAAAGACGGUUUUGCUGUCACUUAUAGAUGGAUCCGCGCCGCAUUAGCUAGUUGGUAAGGUAACGGCUUACCAAGGCAACGAUGCGUAGCCGACCUGAGAGGGUGAUCGGCCACACUGGAACUGAGACACGGUCCAGACUCCUACGGGAGGCAGCAGUAGGGAAUCUUCCGCAAUGGGCGAAAGCUUGACGGAGCAACGCCGCGUGAGUCAUGAAGGUCUUCGGAUCGUAAAACUCUGUUAUUAGGGAAGAACAAAUGUGUAAGUAACUAUGCACGUCUUGACGGUACCUAAUCAGAAAGCCACGGCUAACUACGUG